UACAGAGGUCUCAAGCGUUGUUCGGAAUCACUGGGCGUAAAGGGUGCGUAGGCCGCACGGUAAGUCAGAUGUGAAAGCCCGGAGCUCAACUCCGGAACUGCAUCCGAUACUGCCGUGCUUGAGGACUGGAGAGGAGUCUGGAAUUCACAGUGGAGCAGUGAAAUGCGUAGAUAUUGUGAGGAACACUAGUGGCGAAGGCGAGACUCUGGACAGUUCCUGACGCUGAGGCACGAAGGCCAGGGGAGCAAACGGG
rnacentral:rRNA from 1 species